GUUUUGUUUCUUACAAGAAAGUUGAAUACGCAAUUUUUUUUUCUUAGAAAAUACAUCAUACUUGUUAUGUUCAAUGUUGGUAUAAAGAAAAUGAUGAAAAGGACGAGCUUAUGACACCAGAUGGAACAUUAUGUUGUGAUAUUGGUGGAGCGAUGCCAACAGGGAAAUGCAAGGAAGGAAAAUGUGAUCCUAAGGAAUUAGCGUCAACAAAAUUAUUUUAGAUCUUCAGACUGCUUUAAUUUUGUUAUAUUUCUUAUGAAUGAGUGUUAUUUCUCUGCUGACACAGCUUAUCGCUUUUAAGUGAUUUUAAAAUUAAAAAUGACAAAUAAAAAUAUUUUCUUUUAA